rnacentral:lncRNA from 1 species
GUUAAGAAAACAGUUAUUCACGCAGAAGACAAGAACAAUUGACAAUAUUCCUCCAACACGAGAUGCACUUCUUCAUUGAACAUACGAAACGUGCAGCUUACCAAGGUAGUGUUAUUUGGGGCAAUUGUUUAGUUGCAAAUUCAAGUAUGCCAUCACCAGAUUUAUUUGGUUGGCAAAAACUUGAUGGUACUUGGGUACCAUUCUGGUCUGUGCUUGCUGAA